rnacentral:lncRNA from 1 species
UCUGCUGCGUCACCUGUAAAGUCAUGGAAUCAAUUAUUAACCAAUCCAUUAUCCUCCACUUAGAGACAAACAACCUACUCUCUAAUAAACAAUUUGGUUUCAGAAAAAAACUAUCCUGUAAUCUACAACUCUUACACUGCAAAAACAUAUGGACUACACAACUCGAUCAGGGCAAAGCAAUAGACGCAAUCUACAUAGGCUUCUGUAAAGCCUUUGAUUCAGUGGUACACGACAAACUACUCCUAAAACUAAAAUCUUAUGGUAUUCUCUGGACACCUGCAUAACUGGAUAGAAGUAUUCCUGUCAAACAGACAACAAAUGGUCAAAAUUGAGAGCGUCCUGUCAAAUUCUGUACCUGUCAACAGUGAUGUCCCCCAAGGCAGUGUUCUAGGCCCAACUCUAUUCAUACUCUACAUAAAUGACCUCUGUGAUCAUAUUAAGAGCAACUGCGUUCUCUUCGCUGAUAAUGUAAAGCUAUUCAACACCACAGAAGCUACCCUUCAAAAAGACCUCAACUAUGUAUCAGAAUGGUCAAACAAAUGGCAACUUCAAAUCUCGACAAAUAAAUGCUCUGUCUUACAUAUUGGCAAAAAAAAUCAGAAAAUAAAAUACAAGCUGAAUAGUCAAGACCUUGUUGAUGAUCCAAGCUCUGUAAAGGACCUUGGAAUACUCAUCUCUAAUGAUCUAAGUGCUAGAGCCCACUGUAACUACAUAACCAAAAAGGCAUUAAGAGUUGUUAACCUAAUCUUACAUAGCUUUUUCUCUGGUAAUAUUACACUACCAACUAGAGCAUACAAAACAUUUGCUAGACCAAUACUCGAAUACAGCUCAUCAGUCUGGAACCCACAUUAUGUUUCUGAUAUUAACACAGUUGAGAAAAUCCAGAAAUAUUUCACAAGAAGAGUUCUCCACUUCUCUACUCGUUGCAGAAUACCUUAUGCCACCAGAAUUGAAAUUCUAGACCUAGAAAACCUCGAACUAUGCCACCUUCAAUUCGAUCUAAGUAAAGUAUAUAAAAUCAUACAUUGCAAUAUCCUACCUGUCAAUGAAUACUUCAGCUUCAACCAUAACAACACAAGAGUAAACAAUAGAUGCAAACUCAAGGUUAAUCGCACGAAACUUGAUUGCAGGAAAUACGACUUCAGCAACAGAGUGGUCAAUGUCUGGAAUACUCUACCUGACUUUGUGGUUUCUUCCCCAAACCCCAAAAACUUUAACCUUAGACUGUCUACUAUUGACCUCACCCCUUUCCUAAUAGGUCUGUGGGGGGUGUGCAUAAGCGUACUAACGUGCCUACCAUCUCCUGUCCUUUUGUUUCUUUAUUUUUCUUAUAUGUACCCAUUUCAUGUAUUCAUAACUAUGUUUAUACUUAUACCUAUUAUCUUGUAAACGAUUGACAAAUCAAAUAAAUAAAUAAAUAAAUCUGUUUCCCUCUAUGAC